rnacentral:snoRNA from 1 species
CCGCAUCCAAUUUAGCUGACCAUGCUUCUUUCCUCAUGGGGCCAGGCGUGCAAUGGUUGCAAACCCCUUGGUAGUGUAUGCAGUCUGUUGCUUGUAUGUAUUGAUAUAAGAGGCCUUGGAGACAGCC